rnacentral:rRNA from 1 species
AUUGAACGCUGGCGGCAGGCCUAACACAUGCAAGUCGAGCGGAGCGGCGGACGGGAGAGUAAUGCCUAGGCAUCUGCCUGGUAGCUGGGGAGAACGACCGGGUACGGGCGCUAACACCUCCUACUAGCACAUGAGCCUAGGUCGGAUUAGCUAGUGGGUGGGGUAAAGGCCUACCAAGGCGACGAUCAGUAACUGGUCUGAGAGGAUGAUCAGUCACACUGGAACUGAGACACGGUCCAGACUCCUACGGGAGGCAGCAGUGGGGAAUAUUGGACAAUGGGCGCAAGCCUGAUCCAGCCAUGCCGCGUGUGUGAAGAAGGUCUUCGGGUUGUAAAGCACUUUAAGUUGGGAGGCGUUACCAACAGAAUAAGCACCGGCUAACUUCGUGCCAGCAGCCGCGGUAAUAC